CUUCUAAAAACUUAAUUCGUGGCUUUACAGAGCACGAGAAGGGGCCUUAGACCUUACACAGAGCAUGGCCGUAAAAAGUCUUUGUGGCUGCAUUACUUGGCUGUCAGAUAUCUGAUCUCUUCAAGACAUUAGAUAUGGAUCAGAGGGACACUAAAUGUGUUUUACACAUUGAGGGUUUGGCAGGAGCCAUCUAACCUAUACCAAACAGCUACCCUGCAUAAAGCUGACAGCAGAUUGAUUGUGAACAUACCGACCUGGCUGUCAAGGCCCAGCAGCAGCAGCAUGAUAAAGAAGAGGACGGCCCAGAGGGUUGGCAUCGGCAUCAUUGACACAGCUUUGGGGUAGGCGAUGAAGGCCAAGCCGGGACCUGGAAGCAGAACAGAGUGGGGAUGGGGAGAAGGGGGCAGAGGACAGAAUUAACAUUUCUAUCUGAUUUCAGCUUGGACGACAUACGGUAAGGGGAUCUGAAAAAAUAAUGUAAAGGCUGAGCUGAGCUAGAGACGCUGACAGGAAAUGCGAUCUAAUUUGGCCAUCAAUUGAGCAGCAGCAGCACCCACCGUUACUGCUACUGUCACCUUCGACCCUCGUACCUGACUCUGCCACAUCGGCAAUGUCCACCCCUUGUUCUUGUGCCAUGAAGCCCAGGACGGAAAAUAUUGCGAAGCCAGACACAAAACUGGUUCCGCUGUUGAGGCCUCCCAGCAGCAAACAGUCCCUAUGUCACACAUAUGUCGAGGAGGUUGUUAAUGAACACAGGUGGAACCGAAGUUCCCAUUUUCUUUUCACGCAACCGUCUCUGACACGAGUUGCUGUCACUACUACAGUCUCACUCAUCCCAGCGGAAACGCAGCUCACCUGUAGCAGUUGUACUUGUAUUUGUUGUAGCUCCCCAGUGACGUCAUGGCUCCCAGGCAAAUGGCGUAGGAGAAGAAAAUCUGGGUUCCUGCAUCAAUCCACACCUGAGGAGACAGAGGAAGAGGACUUGGUUUUGAGACGACUGGUAUCACUCUCAUGAAGAUGGUGGAUGUUGUUAGUUGCUUUCUGUCUUUAUGCUAAGAUAAUCUAACUGGCUGCAGGUUAUAGCUUCAAACUUUGCUUGAAAGUUUGAUCUAGUUUACCAGCAACUCACUAAGUAAACAUCUUUUCCAAGAGGACACCUGAGGACAGAAAUGUUAAUAAAAAAAAUUGGUUUUAAAAUUUACCUCUGGAUCUUGGAGUCGGGUCAAGUUGGGGUAAAGGUAAAAUUUGAUUCCUUCACUUGCCCCAGGCAGAGUCACACCACGGAUCAACAGCACAAUUAACAUCACGAAUGGGAAAGUCGCUGUUAUGUACACCACCUAGACAGGACACAGGAAUUGUUACUAAAAAUGCAGGAGAACAGUUAUAGACUUAGGACUCAUCAACCUUGAGAUACAACGGAAUAAGCUCUACCUCCAAAUAAACACGACUUCCCUAAGUUUU